rnacentral:rRNA from 1 species
GACGAACGCUGGCGGCGUGCUUAACACAUGCAAGUCGUACGGUAAGGCCCUUUCGGGGGUACACGAGUGGCGAACGGGUGCGUAACACGUGAGUAACCUGCCCACAACUUUGGGAUAACGCUAGGAAACUGGUGCUAAUACUGGAUAUGUGCUCCUGCUGCAUGGUGGGGGUGGGAAAGCUCCGGCGGUUGUGGAUGGACUCGCGGCCUAUCAGCUUGUUGGUGGGGUAGUGGCCUACCAAGGCGGCGACGGGUAGCCGGCCUGCGAGGGUGACCGGCCACAUUGGGACUGAGAUACGGCCCAGACUCCUACGGGAGGCAGCAGGGGGGAAUAUUGCACAAUGGGCGCAAGCCUGAUGCAGCAACGCCGCGUGCGGGAUGACGGCCUUCGGGUUGUAAACCGCUUUCAGCAGGGACGAAGCUUUUUGUGACGGUACCUGCAGAAGAAGCACCGGCUAACUACGUG